ACGAUCCCGCAAAGUGAAUUAUUCACUGAAUAGUCUGAAUAUCAACAAUGUCAAAGGAAACGGGAGGAGCGAAGAAGUAUGGACCUGCAAAUAAUCCAUACGAGUUCACAAUGCGAAAUUAUUUAGCAUAUCUCAAACCUGCAAUAAUUGACACGUGCUGAAAACUACAAGAUCUUCGUCCGACUACAGUCAUCAUGGAAUACUAUCGAGGGCGAGCUGAAUUGAAAUUUAACGCCAGUUACUACAACGGAGUAACAUUCAUGUUGGCAGCCUCCUUUUUAUUAUUGGGAGGACUUUAUCCAAUGCUAAGGCUUCAUGAUCGUAUCAAUUUUGUAGAAAAAGCUUAUCAUGGUCACUACAGAGGUAAGACUUUUAUCUUAAUUAGAUGGCAACAGAUUUUCAUUGAACCUACUACUAUAACCAUCAUAAGCAAAGAACUGUUUGUCAGGACAUGUAGGCCAGGCCGUAUAUUAUAAUGGACUGUUUUAAAUUUGCUGCAUUGUGCAUUAAAUUGAUAGACUGCGCAAAAUUAUGUCAGACUCAAAUUCCCAUAUAGAAGGAAUUUGCUAUUUAUUCUAUCUAAUGUACUUUAAUAUGGUUAUCUUACUUACUUGUUAUGAUCUAUUCAAUAAUUUGAAGAAUGAGGGCUAUGAAGGUAGGAAAUGUUGCCAAAAAAAUGUACAUAACGAUCAUAAUGUGUUAUGUAUUUUUUCUGCAAUGCCUGCCAAGGUAUGAAACCUGCAUGUAUUACCAAAAUAGGUAUUCAUUAAAUUGCUUAAAUGUAUGAUCACCAGCCAGUAUCUAUGAUACAUGUUAAUAAAGGGAUGACCACAGCAUUUAUAAAGAAAUUCUGAAUAAAUUACCGUUAGUUUUAAAUGAAAUUUUUUUUUUUUAAUGCAGUGUUAAGAAGGGAAGACGCAGAUCCAAAACUGAAAGAGCUUGGAUAUUACAACUGAACUGUAACAAAAGAUUUGUACUCUGUGUUAAAAGAUUUUGAAUAAAUUUAUUGUCAAUAAGAGG
rnacentral:misc_RNA from 1 species